UGGGGAAUUUUGGACAAUGGGGGAAACCCUGAUCCAGCCAUCCCGCGUGUGCGAUGAAGGACUUCGGGUUGUAAAGCACUUUUGGCAGGAAAGAAACGUCAUGGGUUAAUACCCCGUGAAACUGACGGUACCUGCAGAAUAAGCACCGGCUAACUACGUGCCAGCAGCCGCGGUAAUACGUAGGGUGCAAGCGUUAAUCGGAAUUACUGGGCGUAAAGCGUGCGCAGGCGGUUCGGAAAGAAAGAUGUGAAAUCCCAGAGCUCAACUUUGGAACUGCAUUUUGAACUACCGGGCUAGAGUGUGUCAGAGGGAGGUGGAAUUCCGCGUGUAGCAGUGAAAUGCGUAGAUAUGCGGAGGAACACCGAUGGCGAAGGCAGCCUCCUGGGAUAACACUGACGCUCAUGCACGAAAGCGUGGGGAGCAAACAGG
rnacentral:rRNA from 1 species